AUCCAGCUGACGAGUCCUAAAUAGGACGAAACACGUGUUCUGGAU
rfam:Schistosoma margrebowiei strain Zambia genome assembly, scaffold: SMRZ_scaffold0001472